rnacentral:misc_RNA from 1 species
GUGACGAAUACAUAAAUUUCUUUUCUUUCAUAAAAGUAGAUGUUCUAAGUAAAACCCUUCUAUUAUUCUUCCUUGAGAUUAAAAUUUCGAUGUCAGUUUCCUCCUCUAAAUUCCCAAGAUGGCCUCCUUCCCCAUGUAAUAAGCAUUCGAGGUGCAUGUAAUAUGGAUAGGAGACUGUAUAAAAGCUCCUCUGUUCUGCCCUGGCCAGUUGAUUGCCUACCGCUGCAACCAGUCAAUCCCAUCUGAUUUUCUUAAUGCACUUGUAUGUGUACAGGGUCAUCAACAGCAAGCUGGAUAUGACUAAUUUAAAGCAACAUCUUCGUCACCUAAGGCAACCAUUGAAGAAGCAACUUCCACUUCCCAUAGAGCGGUAUUAUUGAAAGUCUGCGCAGAAGGAUCAAUGGGUUGAACUUGAACUUGAACUGAAGGUGCAACCAUGUUAUUAGGCUGCUGCUGAUUUUGUUGAUUGAUCAUGAAAAGAUUUUCAUUUUCAUUGAUCAAAGAAUCCAGAAACGAAGAGAAAGUAUCCUCAUUUCCAUUUCCGAUGUAAUUGUAUUCUGUAUUGCUUGGUCCUUGGUCACUUUGUAAACCCAUAACCAGACCAUUACAAUUAGGCCAGUUACCGUUACCAUCUUCGACAACUAUUGGGUUUUGAUAACGUUCUAGGUUAGUAAUAUUGAAAUUUUUGCUCACUUUGGUGGCUAUAGCUCUAUAGGUCCUGCCAGUUUCUUCCAAAUCAACAGAUUUAGGGCCAGAAUUUUGGUUCAGAUCUUGGGCAAACUGGGAGGAAUUAGGGGUAGGGUUCAAUGGCUUGUGGGUCCUCGGAUCAAUCCCUUGGCUAAUCAGCUUCUUACUGAGAUGGGUAUUCCAGUAGUUCUUGAUUUCAUUAUCCGUGCGUCCUGGAAUCCUUCCAGCUAUCAAAGACCACCUGUUACCGAGCAACCUAUGCAGCCUAAGAAUAAGAUCUUCUUCAUCUGGAGCAAUACGCCCUCUCUUAACAGACGGCCGGAGAUAAUUCAUCCAUCGGAGGCGACAACUCUUUCCACAUCGAAGCAGCCCGGCCCUCUUUGGCAGCGUACGCCAACGUUCAGCGCCUUCCUUCUUGAUGUAGUUAGACAGGAGCUCGUCCUCCUCAGGAGUCCAAGGGCCCCUCUUUAUUCCCACUUUGCUACAGCAUGGUGUAGCAGUUGUCUUCUUGGCGCUGGGUGAAGUUGAAGAAGAUGGGUUCCUCAUAGUUAAUUAGUAAUUAAAUUAGCUAAUUAUCUGAUGCUUUUAUUCUAUGCUGAUGCUUUGUUUUCUUUGCGGGAUUCACUGAGCUCACGUUGCU